AGGGAAACUCUAAUUAACUUUCCAGGGCAGUUUUGUGUUGAGAUUUAAUCAAAAAGAGUUUUUCUGAAGAAUGGAGAGAAGAAGGGGUUGACUUGAACGUUUUCUUUGAAAUGUGAAGUGACGGUUUGCAGUGAAAAGUGGCGAAAAAUUGGAAAAAUACCCCAAAAACUCCAGUUUUCAGCGCUUUGGACGCUUCUUUUCCAGUCUGAUUGGUGGCGCGAUGCAGCUUCCGGCGUUCGCAUUAGCUAAAGCAUUCAACCUCGACAGCCUGGUUGGUGAAAACCGUGGAGAAUUGAUAACAAUAUGCGAGAUGGGGGCAAAGGAUUAAUGAGAAAAAUCAAACAACAAAUUAAUUGACGACUGGAGUUUGUUUAUCAUUAUUUACAAAUGAAUGUUUGUUUACCAAUCGAAUUAAACACUUUGAAAAGCAGGCAACGUAUUUUAUAAACUCAAUAAUUAAUUUCCAAUAAAGCGACUGGUG